AUUGAACGCUGGCGGCAUGCCUUACACAUGCAAGUCAAACGGCAGCGGGGACUUCGGUCCGCCGGCGAGUGGCGAACGGGUGAGUAACGUAUCGGAACGUACCUUUCAGUGGGGGAUAACGUAGCGAAAGUUACGCUAAUACCGCAUAUUCUGUGAGCAGGAAAGCAGGGGAUCGCAAGACCUUGCGCUGAUUGAGCGGCCGAUAUCAGAUUAGCUAGUUGGUGAGGUAAAGGCUCACCAAGGCGACGAUCUGUAGCGGGUCUGAGAGGAUGAUCCGCCACACUGGAACUGAGACACGGUCCAGACUCCUACGGGAGGCAGCAGUGGGGAAUUUUGGACAAUGGGGGCAACCCUGAUCCAGCCAUGCCGCGUGAGUGAAGAAGGCCUUCGGGUUGUAAAGCUCUUUCGGCCGGGAAGAAAUCGUAUGGGUUAAUACCCUGUGCGGAUGACGGUACCGGCAUAAGAAGCACCGGCUAACUACGUGCCAGCCGCCGCUGUAAGAC
rnacentral:rRNA from 1 species